rnacentral:lncRNA from 1 species
AUCUUGCAAGCGUGUCCCACCAUGCUCCGCGGUGGUAACGGCCUUUGGCGGGAAAGGCGCCGCGGGGCGGAGAUAGAUGACGCUGAGCUGUUGCUCCGGAAACCUGGGCAUCUUCUGCACUUCGGUGCCGCCGGCGGGAGUUGCAGGUGAUUUCAUUUAAAAGCCGAAGCGGAGCAGUGUGGCUUCUGCCUCUGGGAACCUGCGGUGGGCUGCAUCUUAGUUAAAGUGUCUAGACGGAUCCUCCAUAUCUAUCUAAAUGAAAACUGUGCCUUGAGUUUUCCUCUUCCUCCUUUCUAAGGAUGAAAAAGGAAGAGUGAUAAAACAGUUUAACUGCAGAGCCGAGAUCCCGGUUCUGUGCUGGUCUAGGGAGAUUAUUUAUUUAUUUGUUUAUUUUGCCAAGAUUAUCUGCAAAAGGAUUCUUGCAUUGGAUACCACAAUUUUGCUUCUUUGUUUUGUAAUAACGGGAAUAGAAGAGCCUUACGUGUGAAAUCAUACGGCCUUGUAGUGUUGUUAAUGAACUCGAAUUAUAAUAAAAGCAAACCAAUCUGGACUUAAGCUUGUGUGCCUGAAAUCCUAUCACUCCGGAAGCUGAGGCAAGGAGGGUCCAGCCUACCCUGUUAUACACAGUUCUAGUAAAGGUUAUCCCGGAGCCAGGCAGUGGUGGCGCAUGCCUUUAAUCCCAGCGCUCGGGAGGCAGAGGCAGGCGGAUUUCAGAGUUCGAGGCCAGCCUGGUCUACUGAGUGAGUUCCAGGACAGCCAGGGCUACACAGAAAAACCCUGUCUCGCCAAAAAAACAAAAACGAAAACCAAUCUGGACAGUGGCAGAAGAACAGCGGGUAAAUAAAGCUGCCAUUCAAGACUGGGCCUGACUUAGAACCCAUACUGGAAGCAGAGAGCCAUCGGGAAGGUUAUCCUCUGAUCCCCCAUGUAUGCUGUGCAUGUGUAUCGCUACCACCCCUGAACGUCAUAUGCACAUUCAAUAUCAAGUAGUUUUUAUUUUACUAAUGUCUGUAUGUGUGUUCUGGGGAAUCUUAGGUCAUCAGGCUUGUAAGGCCUUUUAUCCACUGAGCCAUUUCCCUUGUUUUAUUUUCUGUGAAACAGGAUCUCAUAUAACCUACCUAGGCUGGCCUCAAAUUUGUUGUCUUGCUGAAAAUGUCCUUGAACUCUUUACUCUUUUUAAAUAAAGGUUUUUUAAAAUU